ensembl:lncRNA
UGAAAACCUAGAUUUUCCAUGAGAUGAUCUGGAGCACCUAGAUCCUGACACAGUUGUGUCCUAGCUCGCAUCUGUUGGGCUCCGUGACCUAACCUGAUGGGACGGCUUAUGGCAGGAGGAAUUUUUAAAUAGCCAGUAGGCAACAGGAUCUUCUGUGCUUCUUUUGUAGUUCCCUACUGUCAGGGUGGUAAGGCACUGGCACAGGUUGCCCAGGGAAGCUGUGGAUGCCCCAUCUCUGGAGGUGUUCAAGGCCAGGCUGGAUGGGGCUUUGGGCAACCUGGUCUGGUGGGAGGUGUCCCUGCCCAUGGCAGGGGGUUGGAACUGGAUGGUCUUUAAGGUCCCUUCCAACCCAAACCAUUCUGUGAUAAAGCACAGGCACAUAGAAAAGGUAUCCAGGUGUGCCAAUUAUAUCAGGAUUUAAGAGGCAAAAGCUGCAAGCUAGAUUGCUGCAAGAAGGUAGAAAGGAAAGCUGAACCAGGGAGCAUCCAUCUCCGAGCAGACAGCAGAAAUAAGUGCUGCCCGCAUGAGGUGCCAGAACUGGCACUCCCUCUGAGCCUGCAUGACAUGGGUAAAAUCCUUCUGUGCUGCCUGAGAGAAGGAAGAACAACUGGAAAGGAAACAAAACCAGGAGCACCAGCCAUUCCCAGCUCAGAGCAGACACUCCUGCUUCAUGGUCUGUCUUCCUGUCCGGAGGAUUAUGUGCUGCAAAAGUUGCUGGUUUCCAGAAAAACAAGAGGACCUGUGGUGUCUGCAUCGAACAUAUUCCUCAGAGAACCAGAAAUCUCCAGUGGAGAAAGAGGCUUUGGGCAAUACAGAGGGACAAUGUUUAAAUUCACAUUAUAUUGUAAUCAUUGCCCAGCUCUCACAAAAGAGCAGGUUAGUGAGGAAGACAUGGAGAAAAGAAAAGACCGGCAGAUUUAAAGAUGGGGAAAUUAAAUUUUUCCCAGUUGCCCAGUAAGUAGUGGUCUCACUCGCUGGCUUUCAGCGUGCAGACUUAAACCUAUGCCUUAAUCCACAUGCGGUGAGAUAGGAAGGAUUAUUGGCUGCUGAUGAUACCUGUUGACCGGUUUCUCUCCCUCUCAGUUUCAAAUCCUCUGUUGCUGUCAGCGACACAUGCUUUCCUGCUCGUCUGGGGUGGCCCAGCCUCAUUAGCAAAGGAUUUUGUGCAUGUUAGUUAAUUGAGCCCCGUUCCCGCCACCUGCCACUCGCGAGCCUCAUCUGCGCACUAACUGCCUCUAAUUGUCAUCAUACGGCCGGCGCGCCGCGACAACUUGAGAACAGACCCGGAGCAGCACGCACCGGCCCGGGCUCGGCAAUAACCCGGGGAGCAGCGGCGCGGCGAGUGUAACAAUUUACCAGGGGACCAGAUGUUUGGAGAGGAAAGGCACCUUGCGCUAACAUCAGGUGCUAAAGCUUCGGUGUUUAUUAUCAUGUCAGGUGCUGAGCCCGGCCGCAUCUCGCAGGCGAGACGGCUUGAUAAAUGGAUUCGCACUGGCCUUUCCGCCACCUUAUUGACAACGGACGUAUAAACAGGGGGGAGCAAGUACAAUCAUUUAAACAUAUGUGAAGUUUUGCAGCUCAUUAAUCUAUGGUGUAAAUCCCACAGCAGAAGUCCCGUCACUUGCUCGGACUAGACAGGACGAAGCAGGAGAAGAAAGGCAUCCCGGAGGGACGAGGCUAUGAUGGGGAGUGGACAAAUUGACCUACUAUGUUUUUGACAUCUCCAGCAUUUAUGCAUAAACUGCUGCUGCCGGGCAUUUUGUUUUGAGCAAAUGCAGUCUUCAAUCUUGGAGGAGCUGCUGGUCUAAGUGGGAAACCCCUGGUUUCCACUGAUCUCUAGGCUGUCCACACGUUGCAGAACAGUUCCCUGGUCUCAGGAACAGUGGCCUUAGAACAGAUAAUCCUACAAUAGCCUUUAAAA